ACACUCAGCUUUCUGAAAUGGUGUCCCACCGCAAGGACUGGAGAAGGGUAAACCUCAGGUUCUCCUCCUGCCUUUUGCUAAGUAUAUGUCUUGAUGACAAGCCUUCUGCUGAUGAGCUGUGUUUCUGGACCGAUCAUGGUAGAAGUCAAUUAACGUGUCCCUCACUUGGGGUUUCUCAAGGUAGUUAGUCAUGCUGCUGAAACCCCGAAUGCUCACCCAGAAGAGUUCCUUUGCAGUGAAAGCCUAAGUGAGAUUGCACCUUCAACUGGCAUCACUCCACCUUACAGGAUCCUGAAAGCUUUCAAAUCCACCUCAAGCCCAGGCAGUGUCAAAGAAGGAGAGGAAUUGAAGAAGCAAAAAUAAAUAUUAAAGUACAUAAGAAUUAAAUAUUACCUUUUUAAAUAGCAAUUAUGCAGUUGAAAACAAGAUCAUCACACCUGUACAAGAAAAGGCAUGCAAGCCCAAAACAUCUGCUUGGAUCCACCUGCCAGGCACCUGUUUUGCUGUUUCAAUGCCAUUUGAUUGCUGGAGAUGUAGAGGCUCUUGUGAGGUAAUGAGUGAUUUUACAUUAUGCAUGAUUGAAAACAGGUGUUCUAAUGCUGCACAAUUCUAUGCAUGAAUAAUUCAGUUUGUUUAGAGCAAGAUCUUUAAAAGAAGUACUGCAUGGGCUUUAUUAUUUCUAUAAACACGAAGGUUAUUUUUUUUAAAGUAUGACGAUUGUUCCUUUGCAGCCAGCUUGUUUAUGGCAAUUUUUGUGUAAUUUUAUGGAUGAGGAAUAAUAUCCUGAAAGGUAAAAUUGAUCACACUUAAAAUAUGUAAGAAGUAAAAUUGAAAGGUCUGUUAGCAAGAGGAAAACAGUAUUAAAAUUCAAUGUUCUAAGUAAAAA
rnacentral:lncRNA from 1 species